AACGAACACUGGCGGCAUGCCUAACACAUGCAAGUCGAACGAGACCUUCGGGUCUAGUGGCGCACGGGUGCGUAACGCGUGGGAACCUGCCCUUAGGUUCGGAAUAACUCCCCGAAAGGGGUGCUAAUACCGGAUAAUGUCUUCGGACCAAAGAUUUAUCGCCUUUGGAUGGGCCCGCGUUGGAUUAGCUAGUUGGUAGGGUAAAAGCCUACCAAGGCGACGAUCCAUAGCUGGUCUGAGAGGAUGAUCAGCCACACUGGGACUGAGACACGGCUCAGACUCCUACGGGAGGCAGCAGUGGGGAAUAUUGGACAAUGGGCGAAAGCCUGAUCCAGCAAUGCCGCGUGAGUGAUGAAGGCCUUAGGGUUGUAAAGCUCUUUUACCCGGGAUGAUAAUGACAGUACCGGGAGAAUAAGCUCCGGCUAACUCCGUG
rnacentral:rRNA from 1 species